ACUCGAGUGGCGAACGGGUGAGUAACACGUGGGUGAUCUGCCCUGCACUUCGGGAUAAGCCUGGGAAACUGGGUCUAAUGCCGGAUAGGAGCCAUUUUUAGUGUGAUGGUUGGAAAGUUUUUCGGUGUAGGAUGAGCUCGCGGCCUAUCAGCUUGUUGGUGGGGUAAUGGCCUACCAAGGCGGCGACGGGUAGCCGGCCUGAGAGGGUGGACGGCCACAUUGGGACUGAGAUACGGCCCAG
rnacentral:rRNA from 1 species